rnacentral:rRNA from 1 species
UACGAGGGGUGCAAGCGUUGCUCGGAAUUAUUGGGCGUAAAGGGUAGGUAGGUGGUCUCAUUUGUCCGGGGUGAAAGCCUUGGGCUUAACUCAAGAAGUGCCCCGGAAACGGUGAGACUGGAGUCCUGGAGAGGGUCGUGGAAUUCCCGGUGUAGCGGUGAAAUGCGUAGAGAUCGGGAGGAACACCAGAGGCGAAGGCGGCGACCUGGACAGGCACUGACACUCAACUACGAAAGCGUGGGGAGCAAACAGG